GAGGGUAUAGCUCAGGGGAAGAGUGUGUGCUUAGCACGUACGAGGUCCUGGGUUCCAUUCCCAGCACUUCCA
rnacentral:tRNA from 1 species